rnacentral:rRNA from 1 species
GACGAACGCUGGCGGCGUGCCUAAUACAUGCAAGUCGAACGCAGUGGGGACGGGUGAGUAACACGUGGGUAACCUCCCAUAAGAGGGGAUAACACUUGGAAACAGGUGCUAAACCGAUACUGAUGGAUGGACCCGCGGUGCAGUAGCCAGUUGGUGAGGUAACGGCUCACCAAGGCCACGAGGCAUAGGCGACCUGAGAGGGUGACCGGCCACACGGGGACUGAGACACGGCCCAGACUCCUACGGGAGGCAGCAGUAGGGAAUAUUCGGCAAUGGGCGAAAGGCUGACCGAGCCAUGCAGCGUGUAUGAAGAAGGCCUUCGGGUUGUAAGACUUUCAGCGAGGAGGAACGUUACUCGCAGAAGAAGCACCGGCUAACUCCGUGCCAGCAGCCGCGGUAAUUC